rnacentral:hammerhead_ribozyme from 1 species
GUCCGGCUGACGAGUCCCAGAUAGAACUAAAAGCGCGUCCUGCAU